rnacentral:pre_miRNA from 1 species
UGGACAAAUUAUUGUAUUCGACUGUAUUCAUGACGUGAAAUAGGGGAUUACACUGUUUUUAAAACGGAAAGUGAAUCAAUUAACAUAAUAGACUCCU